rnacentral:rRNA from 1 species
GACGAACGCUGGCGGCGUGCCUAAUACAUGCAAGUCGAGCGAAUCAAUGGGAGCUUGCUCCCUGAGAUUAGCGGCGGACGGGUGAGUAACACGUGGGUAACCUGCCUGUAAGACUGGGAUAACUUCGGGAAACCGGAGCUAAUACCGGAUACGUUCUUUUCUCGCAUGAGAAGAGAUGGAAAGAUGGUUUCGGCUAUCACUUACAGAUGGACCCGCGGCGCAUUAGCUAGUUGGUGAGGUAACGGCUCACCAAGGCGACGAUGCGUAGCCGACCGGAGAGGGUGAUCGGCCACACUGGGACUGAGACACGGCCCAGACUCCUACGGGAGGCAGCAGUAGGGAAUCUUCCGCAAUGGACGAAAGUCUGACGGAGCAACGCCGCGUGAGCGAAGAAGGCCUUCGGGUCGUAAAGCUCUGUUGUUAGGGAAGAACAAGUACAAGAGUAACUACUUGUACCUUGACGGUGCCUAACCAGAAAGCCACGGCUAACUACGUGCCAGCCGCCGCGGUAA